CACCAUCAACACUGUAGUCCCCACUUCCAGCGUUACAGCUUGGCUGGGGUCUCUCCGUCCUCCACCCACCCUGGACCAGGAUCCAGCUUCCAGUGGGCAGACCUCUCCUACUCCAGAGAGCGUAGCAGGCUGCUCUUACAAGAGCAAGUGAUUGUAACCAAGAGGUAUAGCAAUCCCCUGGGUAGAUACAGCCGUCCCCUCCCUCCCACAUAUGAAAUGAGGCUCUAUGUUAAGGGUAAAACAGGAACUACUUUAAUGGGAGCCACAACUAGCCUUAUAUGCAAGUCCCCAUGCAAGGUGCACUCCCCCCUGGACCUGAGAGUAAACCACGGUAUAAACAAUUACACAACCACAUUGGCUGUCAGAUCCAGGACACUCCCAUACAUAAUCAGAUAAUCCCUCCUCUGUGCCUGGGAGAUAACUGAGUCAUGGACUGUACUAACCCAAUUAUCU